AUGUAUCGGACCAAUUGGGGUAUUGGCCAUGGACUUAAAGAUAUUUUGGAGGCUCACAAGGGACCAUUUACAGGACAAGGCCAUAAGGGUCUUUAUGAAAUCUUAACAACGUCAUGGCAUGCUCAAUUAUCUCUUAACCUAGCUAUGUUAGGCUCUACAACCAUUGUUGUAGAUCAUCAUAUGUAUUCUAUGCCUCCCAAUCCAUACCUAGCUACAGACUAUGGUACACAACUUUCCUUGUUCACACACCACAUGUGGAUUGGCGGAUUUCUAAUAGUCGGUGCUGCUGCACAUGCAGCAAUUUUUAUGGUAAGAGACUAUGAUCCAACUACUCGAUAUAACAAUCUAUUAGAUCGCGUCCUUAGACACCGCGAUGCAAUCAUGUCCCACCUUAACUGGGUAUGUAUAUUUCUAGGUUUUCACAGUUUUGGCUUGUACAUUCAUAAUGAUACCAUGAGUGCUUUAGGCCGUCCACAAGAUAUGUUUCAGAUACUGCCAUACAAUUACAACCUAUCUUUGCUCAAUGGGUACAAAAUAUCCAUGCUACUGUGCCUGGUGUAA
rnacentral:rRNA from 1 species